rnacentral:rRNA from 1 species
GGGUUGUGAGGUUAAGCGACUAAGCGUACACGGUGGAUGCCCUGGCAGUCAGAGGCGAUGAAGGACGUGCUAAUCUGCGAUAAGCGUCGGUGAGGUGAUAUGAACCGUUAUAACCGGCGAUUUCCGAAUGGGGAAACCCAGUGUGUUUCGACACACUAUCAUUAACUGAAUCCAUAGGUUAAUGAGGCGAACCGGGGGAACUGAAACAUCUAAGUACCCCGAGGAAAAGAAAUCAACCGAGAUUCCCCCAGUAGCGGCGAGCGAACGGGGAGGAGCCCAGAGCCUGAAUCAGUGUGUGUGUUAGUGGAAGCGUCUGGAAAGGCGCGCGAUACAGGGUGACAGCCCCGUACACAAAAAUGCACAUAUUGUGAGCUCGAUGAGUAGGGCGGGACACGUGGUAUCCUGUCUGAAUAUGGGGGGACCAUCCUCCAAGGCUAAAUACUCCUGACUGACCGAUAGUGAACCAGUACCGUGAGGGAAAGGCGAAAAGAACCCCGGCGAGGGGAGUGAAAAAGAACCUGAAACCGUGUACGUACAAGCAGUGGGAGCCUCUUAAUGGGGUGACUGCGUACCUUUUGUAUAAUGGGUCAGCGACUUAUAUUCUGUAGCAAGGUUAACCGAAUAGGGGAGCCGAAGGGAAACCGAGUCUUAACUGGGCGUUAAGUUGCAGGGUAUAGACCCGAAACCCGGUGAUCUAGCCAUGGGCAGGUUGAAGGUUGGGUAACACUAACUGGAGGACCGAACCGACUAAUGUUGAAAAAUUAGCGGAUGACUUGUGGCUGGGGGUGAAAGGCCAAUCAAACCGGGAGAUAGCUGGUUCUCCCCGAAAGCUAUUUAGGUAGCGCCUCGUGAAUUCAUCUCCGGGGGUAGAGCACUGUUUCGGCAAGGGGGUCAUCCCGACUUACCAACCCGAUGCAAACUGCGAAUACCGGAGAAUGUUAUCACGGGAGACACACGGCGGGUGCUAACGUCCGUCGUGAAGAGGGAAACAACCCAGACCGCCAGCUAAGGUCCCAAAGUCAUGGUUAAGUGGGAAACGAUGUGGGAAGGCCCAGACAGCCAGGAUGUUGGCUUAGAAGCAGCCAUCAUUUAAAGAAAGCGUAAUAGCUCACUGGUCGAGUCGGCCUGCGCGGAAGAUGUAACGGGGCUAAACCAUGCACCGAAGCUGCGGCAGCGACACUAUGUGUUGUUGGGUAGGGGAGCGUUCUGUAAGCCUGUGAAGGUGUNNNNNNNNNNNNNNNNNNNNNNNNNNNNNNNNNNNNNNNNNNNNNNNNNNNNNNNNNNNNNNNNNNNNNNNNNNNNNNNNNNNNNNNNNNNNNNNNGGUUGCUGGAGGUAUCAGAAGUGCGAAUGCUGACAUAAGUAACGAUAAAGCGGGUGAAAAGCCCGCUCGCCGGAAGACCAAGGGUUCCUGUCCAACGUUAAUCGGGGCAGGGUGAGUCGACCCCUAAGGCGAGGCCGAAAGGCGUAGUCGAUGGGAAACAGGUUAAUAUUCCUGUACUUGGUGUUACUGCGAAGGGGGGACGGAGAAGGCUAUGUUGGCCGGGCGACGGUUGUCCCGGUUUAAGCGUGUAGGCUGGUUUUCCAGGCAAAUCCGGAAAAUCAAGGCUGAGGCGUGAUGACGAGGCACUACGGUGCUGAAGCGACAAAUGCCCUGCUUCCAGGAAAAGCCUCUAAGCAUCAGGUAACAUCAAAUCGUACCCCAAACCGACACAGGUGGUCAGGUAGAGAAUACCAAGGCGCUUGAGAGAACUCGGGUGAAGGAACUAGGCAAAAUGGUGCCGUAACUUCGGGAGAAGGCACGCUGAUAUGUAGGUGAAGCGACUUGCUCGUGGAGCUGAAAUCAGUCGAAGAUACCAGCUGGCUGCAACUGUUUAUUAAAAACACAGCACUGUGCAAACACGAAAGUGGACGUAUACGGUGUGACGCCUGCCCGGUGCCGGAAGGUUAAUUGAUGGGGUUAGCGGUAACGCGAAGCUCUUGAUCGAAGCCCCGGUAAACGGCGGCCGUAACUAUAACGGUCCUAAGGUAGCGAAAUUCCUUGUCGGGUAAGUUCCGACCUGCACGAAUGGCGUAAUGAUGGCCAGGCUGUCUCCACCCGAGACUCAGUGAAAUUGAACUCGCUGUGAAGAUGCAGUGUACCCGCGGCAAGACGGAAAGACCCCGUGAACCUUUACUAUAGCUUGACACUGAACAUUGAGCCUUGAUGUGUAGGAUAGGUGGGAGGCUUUGAAGUGUGGACGCCAGUCUGCAUGGAGCCGACCUUGAAAUACCACCCUUUAAUGUUUGAUGUUCUAACGUGGGCCCCUUACCGGGGUUGCGGACAGUGUCUGGUGGGUAGUUUGACUGGGGCGGUCUCCUCCUAAAGAGUAACGGAGGAGCACGAAGGUUGGCUAAUCCUGGUCGGACAUCAGGAGGUUAGUGCAAUGGCAUAAGCCAGCUUGACUGCGAGCGUGACGGCGCGAGCAGGUGCGAAAGCAGGUCAUAGUGAUCCGGUGGUUCUGAAUGGAAGGGCCAUCGCUCAACGGAUAAAAGGUACUCCGGGGAUAACAGGCUGAUACCGCCCAAGAGUUCAUAUCGACGGCGGUGUUUGGCACCUCGAUGUCGGCUCAUCACAUCCUGGGGCUGAAGUAGGUCCCAAGGGUAUGGCUGUUCGCCAUUUAAAGUGGUACGCGAGCUGGGUUUAGAACGUCGUGAGACAGUUCGGUCCCUAUCUGCCGUGGGCGCUGGAGAACUGAGGGGGGCUGCUCCUAGUACGAGAGGACCGGAGUGGACGCAUCACUGGUGUUCGGGUUGUCAUGCCAAUGGCACUGCCCGGUAGCUAAAUGCGGAAGAGAUAAGUGCUGAAAGCAUCUAAGCACGAAACUUGCCCCGAGAUGAGUUCUCCCUGACUCCUUGAGAGUCCUGAAGGAACGUUGAAGACGACGACGUUGAUAGGCCGGGUGUGUAAGCGCAGCGAUGCGUUGAGCUAACCGGUACUAAUGAACCGUGAGGCUUAACCUUACAACGCCGAAG